rnacentral:lncRNA from 1 species
CUUGAGUAUCACCCUAAACCAAGCUUCUCCUUCCUGCCACCAUGUGAAAAAGGACAUGUUUGCUUCUCCUUCUGCCAUGAUUUAGUUCCCCUAUAUUCUCACCAGUAACUAAAAGAUUAUAUGCAAAAUAUUCUAGUCCUAGUCGAAACUACUGGCUCAACUACACUGAGGAAAAUAAUAUUUCCUUCUAGCAUAGUGUCCAGAAUGAAUCUAAGUAGAAGAAGGGAAGACGAGAAGGACACAAGAAGGAAGACAAGGAAAAAUGUCGACCUCAAAGAACUAGAGGAACAACACUGGAGUUAUACGAAACACCCAGAAUUAGAAUCAGAGCAAUUUGAUUGGAUUUACUACAGCUGAUUCUAGAUACAAGAACUUUACCGAGCCAUUUACAAUUUUUGUGCUUCAAUUUCAUCAUUUUAAAACAGAAAGAAAGCAUUUACCUUAUACGCUUGUUGCUUAGAUUAUAAAGGAAUUAUCUAUAUAAAAAGUACAAUAAAGAAGAAUAUAAAUGUAAGAAUGUAGAGGGUCACAAACAUUGUUUGAAAUAUCCAUGCUUUUCAUUUUGGAGUGAAAAGAGGAAAAAUACUAACUGUAAAAUUAAAUUCAUUACUAUAUCAAAGUCAAGCCUGCCUAUCAAGUCAUUUGACAGUUAAAAAUGUUUUGUUUAUCC